ACCAAGCAUACAGUGCUAGCCAAUGGGCAUGAUAUUAUAGUAACAGACAUAGUAAAGGUCCAUUGAAUGGUAACCGUAGGCGGACGUAAGUAUUGCCGCACACUUACACACAGUAAUUUACGGUAACUUCCAGUAAACAGGUGUUUGUCGUAGGGUUCUCAGGACUCCGGCAUGCACGCCCACGCAGUACUGUUGGCAUACGUUCAUGAGGUGAAUAGACGAGACAUAAUUGGUGCAUCAUGUUUGGGGGACAUAGUCAUAGCAUAUUGGUUUAAAAAGUACUGACAUAUACAAACCACAGACAUGUACAUAUUUACUUUAGUUCAUGUGUAAUAAUGACCAGACACUUGUAUCCUUACGCGUCAUUUCACCUUUCUUGGCACACUUGAACGUUGGGUCAGUAACCGAAAGGUCCCAAGUUCGAAUCCCACGAGCAGACAAGGUAAAAUGGGUACAUUUCCAUAUCCGUCAUUAAGUGUAUGGCUACAAUCAUAUUAGGACAAGGCCAUUUGCCAAUUAGGCUACUUUAGCCACCGCCUACAUGUCAUGUAAUCAUUGAUAGAUGUCUGCUGCCUUCUAGUUGUGUGCGCCUCAACCUCCAGCUCUGACAGGCCACCAUGCCCACAUGAACGCUGGUGGGCACUAGAGCAAAUUCGAUUGAACAUGAUAAUACAUCAUAGCCUGAAGGUUUUGAACAGCACCACAGAAGGGUGGAGAAUAGAGCCAGAGUAUUGAUUUGAGAUUUGAGUAAGGACCAUGCCUCAGGACUACCUGGCAUGAUGACUCCUUGCUGUCCCCAGUCCACCUGGCCGUGCUGCUGCUCCAGUUUCAACUGUUCUGCCUGCGGCUAUGGAACCCUGACCUGUUCACCGGACGUGCUACCUCUUCCAGACCUGCUGUUUUCAACUCUCUAGAAACAGCAGGAGUGGUAGAGAUACUCUUAAUGAUCGGCUAUGAAAAGCCAACUGACAUUUACUCCUGAGGUGCUGACUUGUUGCACCCUCGAAAACUACUGUGAUUAUUAUUAUUUGACCAUGCUGGUCAUUUAUGAACAUUUGAACAUAUUGGCCAUGUUCUGUUAUAAUCUCCACCCGGCACAGCCAGAACAGGACUGGCCACCCCUCAUAUCCUGGUUCCUCUCUAGGUUUCUUCCUAGGUUUUGGCCUUUCUAGGGAGUUUUUCCUAGCCACCGUGCUUCUACGCCUGCAUUGCUUGCUGUUUGGGGUUUUAGGCUGGGUUUCUGUACAGCACUUUGAGAUAUCAGUUGAUGUCUGAGGGGUUCUGAUGUUCUGAGGGGGCCCUUUAAAAAACUAAAUGUGUUAUUCAUUUAUUCUGUAUGUUUUUAUUAUCCCCUCCACCACCCCACCUCUGCGGAGGACAAAUAUAUUUUUGUUGUUUUACAACUUUUCUGCUACAUACAGUUGAAGUCGGAAGUUUACAUACACCUUAGCCAAAUACAUUUAAACUCAGUUUUUCACAAUUUCUGAUAUUUAAUCUUAGAAAACAUUCCCUGUCUUACAUCAUUUAGGAUCAUCACUUUAUUUUAAGAAUGUGAAAUGUCAAAAUAAUAUUAGAGAGUGAUUUUGUUUCGGCUUUUAUUUAUUUCAUUACAUUCCCAGUGGGUCAGAAGUUUACAUACACUCAAUUAGUAACAUUGCCAUUAAAUUGUUUAACUUGGGUCAAACAUUUUGGGUAGCCUUCCACAAGCUUCCCACAAUAAUUUGGGUGAAUUUUGUACCAUUCCUCCUGACAGAGCUGGUGUAACUGAGUCAGGUUUGUAGACCUCCUUGCUCGUACACGCUUUUUCAGUUCUGCCCACAAAUGUACUAUUGGAUUGAGGUCAGGGCUUUGUGAUGGCCACUCCAAUGGCUUGACUUUGUUGUCCUUUGUUGACCAUUUUGCCACAACGUUGGAAGUAUGCUUGGAGUCAUUGUCCAUUUGGAAGACCCAUUUGCGACCAAGCUUUAAGUUCCUGACUGAUGUCUUGAGAUUUUGCUUCAAUAAAUCCACAUAAUUUUCCCUCUUCAUGAUGCCAUCUAUUUUGUGAAGGGCACCAGUCCCUCCUGCAGCAAAGCACCCCCACAACAUGAUGCUGCCACCCCUGUGCUUCACGGUUGGGACUGUGUUCUUCGGCUUGCAAGCCUCCCCCUUUUUCCUCUAAACAUAAUGAUGGUCAUUAUGGCCAAACAGUUCUAUUUUUGUUUCAUCAAACCAGAGGACAAUUCUCCAAAAAGUACGAUAUUUGUCCCCAUGUGCAGUUGCCAACUGUAGUCUGUCUUUUUUAUGACGGUUUUGGAGCAGUGGCUUCUUCCUUGCUGUGCGGCCUUUCAGGUUGAACGUGGUACCUUCAGGCAUUUGUAAAUUGCUCCCAAGGAUUAACCAGACUUGUGGAGGUCAACAUUUUUUUUCUGAGUUCUUGGCUGAUUUCUUUUGAUUUUCCCAUGAUGUCAAGCAAAGAGGCACUGAGUUUGAAGGUAGGCCUUGAAAUACAUCCACAGGUACACCUCCAAUUGACUCAAAUUAUGUCAAUUAGCCUAUCAGAAGUUUCUAAAGCCAUGACAUCCUUUUCAGGACUUUUCCAGGCUGUUUAAAGGUACAGUCAACUUAGUGUAUGUAAACUGACCCACUGGAAUUGUGAUACAGUGAAUUAUAAGGGAAAUAAUCUGUCUGUAAACAAUUGUUGGAAACAUUACUUGUGUCAUGCACAAAGUAGAUGUCCUAACCGACUUGCCAAAACUGUAGUUUGUGGAGUGGUUGAAAAAUGAGUUUUAAUGACUCCAACCUAAGUGUAUGUAAACGUCCGACUACAACUGUAUACAUACAUUUUACAUGUACAUUUUGCAUACAUGGUACUUUUAUAUAAAACAGUCAAAUAACAAUAAUGCAUGACCAAACAUCAGCUCUUUAAUCCCACCCCUCAGCCACUCUCAGCCCAUCCCACCUAUCACCAUAAACCACCCCUCAGCCACUCUCAGCCCAUCCCACCUAUCACCAUAGACUACCCUCGUAUGGUUUCCAUGCGCAGUAUAUGUUUCAAUUAUGCUGUGAUGUUUUACAUAUUUUUUAAAAACUUUUCUAAUCGUAUUAUAUCCACAGAUUGUGAGCUAAAGAUGAAAACCUUUCCUACGAGUAUUAUAUUAUUUAUUGACUGACUAUAGCUUUCCAAAUUGCCCAACACUAUUUGUAAGGUUAAUUUUAAGUGUAUUUUGUGAUAUUUUUUUUUUAACCCAUCCUGAACUUGUGACCAGAAACAAGCGACAUACAGUAGGGGCAAUACCAGAAUACAUGAUCUAUUGAUUGUCUCUUCGCAGCCAAAUCUACAGAGCUGAGAUUGUUGUAUGCCACAAUAUAGCAUUCUGUUGGUGGCAAGAAUUUUAUAUAUAAAAAUUUGCAUUGAUAAACUCAAGUGUAGUUUUUUGUACCAGUUCAUAAACUAUGUGCCAUGGAAUCGGGACAUCGAUAAUCUCUUCCCAUUUAUUUUGCAACCUGUAUGGAGCAGCUGUCAACGUUUUUGUCCUCAAAUAAUUAAAUUGGUAUAUUUUUCUAUUUAUGCCAGUUCCCUUCAGCCAAUUUGUAUCUUUAAUAUGUGGCAGACAAACAAGUUCCCUACCUUCUCCCUUUUCCACUUGCCUCCUCCAUUUUUUUGUGGUAAUGCUGCAAUCAGUUGGUUGUAAAUUUGGAUUGAGCAGAUAUUUCCGAUAGCUGCAUAUGUGACAUAACUCCUCUAUUUCUAUUCAUAAUAUCAUUAAUAAAUAUAAUACCAUUUUUCAACAUCUUUUCCAUAUAGAAUGUAUUUUUAUUCAUCAGUAUAUUUGAGUUUAACCAUAACAUUUGUUGUAAUAUUUGUUCUAUCUUUUCUGGAGGAUAAAACUGAAAUUGUAACCAGCUUUGUAUGGCUUGUUUAAAGAAAGGGUGAUACUUUAAACUACAUUUCAUUUUCAAUUAGUCAGAAAUGAGAAGUUGUAAUCUGUAUAAAGGCAAAAAGGCCAUGUUUGAACAAAGGAUGAGUUUUUCUUAAUAAACUACUGGAGAACCA